rnacentral:rRNA from 1 species
CGCCGGACCUGACUGCUAUCGGAUUGAUACUAAGCCAUGCGAGUCAUUGUAGCAAUACAAGGCAUACGGCUCAGUAACGCGUAGUCAACCUAACCUAUGGACGGGAAUAACCUCGGGAAACUGAGAAUAAUGCCCGAUAGAACAUUAUGCCUGGAAUGGUUUAUGUUCCAAAUGAUUUAUCGCCGUAGGAUGGGACUGCGGCCUAUCAGUUUGUUGGCGAGGUAAUGGCCCACCAAGACUAUUACAGGUACGGGCUCUGAGAGGAGUAGCCCGGAGAUGGGUACUGAGACACGGACCCAGGCCCUAUGGGGCGCAGCAGGCGAGAAAACUUUGCAAUGUGCGAAAGCACGACAAGGUUAAUCCGAGUGGUUUCUGCUAAAGAAACCUUUUGUCAGUCCUAGAAACACUGAUGAAUAAGGGGUGGGCAAGUUCUGGGGUCAGCA